GAGAUGUUGGUCGGUUAGAAGUUGCUGCUUUGCCUGCCUUCUGGAAAUGCCUAAGGCGUUUUCUGAUGGAAGAGCUGUUUGAUGCCGUUUACAAAACUAGUCAGGCUUGAGGAUCGUUGCUAAGGAUCUGGUUCAGGAUCCAAUGCCUAAGUACAAAUGGAAGAAUCACCAGAAGGACUGCCAGAGGCAAGAGGAUGCUCUCAAGAUUUUUUUUCUCCUUCCCCCCAUUCCUGUGUCACUUACCAGCAUUUGCUUCUUCCAAUGUAAAGACCAUGUCUCCAGGUACACCCACUUUUUGCUCCAUUCCCAAACUCAACCCCAGCUUGCAAGCUUCUUUCCAUGAUGAUCAAGGAACAGAGGAUGCCAGGUGUAACCCCAAGAGGACCUACUUGAUGUUCAAGCCUCUGCGGUGGCUUUCUACCUCAGUCAUGCCACAGUAGCUGAAGCCCAGACUAACCCAGGAGUGGCUGAAGGUCAAGCCUUGGUGGAAGCUCCAGUUUCCACCACAGCUGUUGCAAGAGUCCCAGAUGCUGCUCAACAUCCACAGCCAACUUCUGAGCAUCGCUGGCAAUGGAUACAAAAGCAUCUGGAUACAUGGGAGACUCAUAGACUUGGAGUUACAUAGUGACUCCACAAUACCUCUCACACUGGACCAGUAUAGGCCGAGAAGUUUUUAAAGAAAGAGGUGUUGUGGUUCAUGCCCUUAAUCUCAGGAUUUGGGAGAGUGAUGCAAUUUAAUCUGUGUUAGUUUCUUACCACUGUCGUCCAUGCACUGAGAUUGUUUCAAAACAAAUUAAAAUAUUAAGUAUUGUUUCUUUUGUGUUAGUUUGAUAAAAGCAGAAAAUAAUUUCUGCAAGCAUUUUUAACAUUUGUUCUUCCUAGAAUGGCUGUGUUUAUGGCUUUCUCUUUGCAAAUUUUUGUAUGUUUAAAUGCCUGCAUGUAUGUAUGCACUACCUAGGGCCUGGGAGAGGGCUGAAGAUCUCCUGAGAGUAGCACUUCAAAUAUUUACCAAGCAAAGGAAACAUUUUUUUCUAAUGAAUUCUGUGUAUUUGGGGCUAGAAUAGGGAUUCCCACACAUGAUUUAAAACCAUUAAUACUCUAUGGACUGAAGGGAGAGCUCAGUGUUUGAGAGAACUCCCUCUCUUGGGCAGUACUUGAGUUCAGUUUCUAGCAACAACCUGUGGGUUCUGAAGUUCAGAUCAUAAAGAGUUGGCUUAAA